UGAGGGAAUAUUGGGUCAAUGGUCGAGAGACUGAACCAGCCAAGUAGCGUGAUGGACGACGGCCCUACGGGUCUUAAACAUCUUUUAUAUGAGAAUAACAAGGGGGAACGCGUUCCCCCCUGCAUGUACCAUAUGAAUAAGCAUCGGCUAAUUCCGUGCCAGCAGCCGCGGUAAUACGGAAGAUGCGAGCGUUAUCCGGAUUUAUUGGGUUUAAAGGGAGCGUAGGCGGACUGUUAAGUCAGCGGUAAAAUCUCGGGGCCCAACCCCGUUGUGCCGUUGAAACUGGCAGCCUUGAGUACACACAAGGAUGGUGGAAUUCGUCGUGUAGCGGUGAAAUGCUUAGAUAUGACGAAGAACCCCGAUUGCGAAGGCAGCCAUCUGGAGUGCCACUGACGCUGAGGCUCGAAAGU
rnacentral:rRNA from 1 species